CCUACGGGUGGCUGCAGUAGGGAAUAUUGGGCAAUGGACGAAAGUCUGACCCAGCCAUGCCGCGUGCAGGAUGACUGCCCUAUGGGUUGUAAACUGCUUUUGUACGGGAAGAAACCCCUGAACGUGUUCAGGGCUGACGGUACUGUAUGAAUAAGGAUCGGCUAACUUCGUGCCAGCAGCCGCGGUAAUACGAAGGAUCCAAGCGUUGUCCGGAUUUACUGGGUUUAAAGGGUGCGUAGGCGGACUAUUAAGUCAGUGGUGAAAGCUGGUAGCUU
rnacentral:rRNA from 1 species